rnacentral:rRNA from 1 species
GGCGUAGAGGGCUCGCAGGCGGUUUCUUAAGUCUGAUGUGAAAGCCCCCGGCUCAACCGGGGAGGGUCAUUGGAAACUGGGGAACUUGAGUGCAGAAGAGGAGAGUGGAAUUCCACGUGUAGCGGUGAAAUGCGUAGAGAUGUGGAGGAACACCAGUGGCGAAGGCGACUCUCUGGUCUGUAACUGACGCUGAGGAGCGAAAGCGUGGGGAGCGAACAGGAUUAGAUACCCUGGUAGUCCACGCCGUAAACGAUGAGUGCUAAGUGUUAGGGGGUUUCCGCCCCUUAGUGCUGCAGCUAACGCAUUAAGCACUCCGCCUGGGGAGUACGGUCGCAAGACUGAAACUCAAAGGAAUUGACGGGGGCCCGCACAAGCGGUGGAGCAUGUGGUUUAAUUCGAAGCAACGCGAAGAACCUUACCAGGUCUUGACAUCCUCUGACAAUCCUAGAGAUAGGACGUCCCCUUCGGGGGCAGAGUGACAGGUGGUGCAUGGUUGUCGUCAGCUCGUGUCGUGAGAUGUUGGGUUAAGUCCCGCAACGAGCGCAACCCUUGAUCUUAGUUGCCAGCAUUCAGUUGGGCACUCUAAGGUGACUGCCGGUGACAAACCGGAGGAAGGUGGGGAUGACGUCAAAUCAUCAUGCCCCUUAUGACCUGGGCUACACACGUGCUACAAUGGACAGAACAAAGGGCAGCGAAACCGCGAGGUUAAGCCAAUCCCACAAAUCUGUUCUCAGUUCGGAUCGCAGUCUGCAACUCGACUGCGUGAAGCUGGAAUCGCUAGUAAUCGCGGAUCACAU